rnacentral:tRNA from 1 species
ACCUGGCUAGCUCAGUCGGUAGAGCAUGUGACUCUGGAUCUCAGGAUUGUGAGUUCAAGCCUCACACUGGGUU